GUAACACAUACAUUUGCAGUCAGGCUCCGGCAUGCACACAGAAGACAUUGAGCCUGACCAGCUCAACAAUAUGGGUUUCAGAAGGUAUACACCCCAAAGGGAUGAAGAAAUGAGAACAAGACAGUAUCAACCUUUUGAAAACAAGAAAGAUGGAAAAGGCAGCGGACGCAAGGAAGAUCACUUGGUAAGCAGAAGUCCAUGAAGUUCCCAAGAUUCCAGUCCUCUGCUAUACUCAUCUUUCUCCUAGUGAUUCA